rnacentral:rRNA from 1 species
GACGAACGCUGGCGGCGUGCCUAAUACAUGCAAGUCGAACGCAGUGGGGACGGGUGAGUAACACGUGGGUAACCUCCCAUCAGAGGGGAUAACACUUGGAAACAGGUGCUAAACCGAGACUGAUGGAUGGACCCGCGGUGCAUUAGCUAGUUGGUGAGGUAACGGCUCACCAAGGCCACGAUGCCUAGCCGGCCUGAGAGGGUGAGCGGCCACACUGGAACUGAGACACGGUCCAGACUCCGACGGGAGGCAGCAGUGGGGAAUCGUCGACAAUGGGCGAAAGUCUGACCGAGCAACGCCGCGUGAGUGAAGAAGGUUUUCGGAUCGUAAAGCUCUGUUGUUAGAGAUGAGGUAUCUAACCAGAAAGCCACGGCUAACUACGUGCCAGCAGCCGCGGUAAUUC